rnacentral:sRNA from 1 species
AUAUAUGUUUAUUUUAGUUUAGGAAACUUAGAUCUCUUCCUUCUCUAUAUAAAGAUCAUCUCCAAUGUAUAGCUCUAUAUCCACCUCUAAAAUAGAGUUACUCUAUUUUUGAGGUGGGUUUCUCUCCAAUGUAUAGCUCUAUUUUCUACUCUAAAAAAGAAUAUUCUU